UACAGAGGUCUCAAGCGUUGUUCGGAUUCAUUGGGCGUAAAGCGCGUGUAGGCGGUUCGGUAAGUCUGCUGUGAAAGUCCAGGGCUCAACCCUGGGAUGCCGGUGGAUACUGUCGGACUAGAGUACGGAAGAGGCGAGUGGAAUUCCCGGUGUAGCGGUGAAAUGCGCAGAUAUCGGGAGGAACACCAAUUGCGAAGGCAGCUCGCUGGGACGUUACUGACGCUGAGACGCGAAAGCGUGGGGAGCAAACAGG
rnacentral:rRNA from 1 species